rnacentral:lncRNA from 1 species
AAAUAUCCAAAGCAAUUUUUUAGUGCUUCAAUAAAAUUCUACAGCUAUAAAAUCUAAAGCCACAGCAAAAAGUCUACAGAUUUUUUUCUACAGCAAAAUAUUUAAAGCUACAGCCAUUACCAAUCGGACCCAAAAAAAGUUAAGAACUGUCUCUUAAAUAAGAGAUAUAAGAGCUGUCUCUUAACCAAAAAAUAUUAAAAAAAAAAAGUCAAAUCAUGAGUUAAGAACCCCGACUAAGAGACCGGAGUUAAUCAUGCUCUAAGCUAAUGAAACAUUAGCAUUGAUCCCCAAAAGUUAUAGAGAUUAUAUAUAUAGAGAAAUAAACUUCCAAAUUAUGCAAAAAAAAAAUUAUUAGAAUUUUUAUUAAAUGUCUAUAGUCUCUAAAAUUUUAGACUCGUCCCCAAUCAUUAGACUCACUGUUUGGUUGAUUCAUGUUAUUU